UACGAAGGGGGCUAGCGUUGCUCGGAAUCACUGGGCGUAAAGGGCGCGUAGGCGGUUCGUUAAGUCCUGUGUGAAAUCCCCCGGCUCAACUGGGGAACUGCACAGGAAACUAGCGGGCUUGAGUUCGGGAGAGGGAAGCGGAAUUCCGGGUGUAGCGGUGAAAUGCGUAGAUAUCCGGAGGAACACCGGCGGCGAAGGCGGCUUCCUGGACCGACACUGACGCUGAGGCGCGAAAGCUAGGGGAGCAAACGGG
rnacentral:rRNA from 1 species